UACGUAGGGGGCAAGCGUUGUCCGGAUUUAUUGGGCGUAAAGCGCUCGCAGGUGGUUCGUUGCGUCGUGCGUGAAAGACCCCGGCUCAACUGGGGAGGGUCGUGCGAUACGGGCGAACUGGAGGCCAGUAGGGGGAUGCGGAAUUCCGGGUGUAGUGGUGGAAUGCGUAGAGAUCCGGAAGAACACCGGAGGCGAAGGCGGCUUGCUGGGCUCGGUCUGACGCUGAGGCGCGAAAGCGUGGGGAGCGAACAGG
rnacentral:rRNA from 1 species